GCAGACACAUUCCAGCCAAUCAGCAGCAGACCCUCCCUCCCAGACCCUCCCACCUCCUGGACAGCAUCCAUUGUGAAGCUGCAUUCUUAGUGAGCUGUCCAGGAGGUUGGAGGGUCUGGGAGGGUCUGGGAGGGAGGGUCUGCUGCUGAUUGGCUGGAAUGUGUCUG